rnacentral:rRNA from 1 species
GUAGGUGGCAAGCGUUGUCCGGAAUUAUUGGGCGUAAAGCGCGCGCAGGCGGUUCUUUAAGUCUGAUGUGAAAGCCCACGGCUCAACCGUGGAGGGUCAUUGGAAACUGGAGAACUUGAGUACAGAAGAGGAAAGCGGAAUUCCACGUGUAGCGGUGAAAUGCGUAGAGAUGUGGAGGAACACCAGUGGCGAAGGCGGCUUUCUGGUCUGUAACUGACGCUGAGGCGCGAAAGCGUGGGGAGCAAACAGGAUUAGAUACCCUGGUAGUCCACGCCGUAAACCGAUGAGUGCUAAGUGUUAGGGGGGUUUCCGCCCCCCUUAGUGCUGCAGCUAACGCAUUAAGCACUCCGCCUGGGAGUACGGCCGCAAGGCUG